AGGAGCCGAAUGAAACCAAAGUUUCACGUUCAGUUUUGAAUUAGAGACGUUAAAAAUGAUGAAUCAACGUCGACUAUAAC
rnacentral:ncRNA from 1 species